CCUACGGGUGGCAGCAGUGAGGAAUAUUGGUCAAUGGACGCGAGUCUGAACCAGCCAAGUAGCGUGAAGGAUGAAUGCCCUAUGGGUUUUAAACUUCUUUUAUAAAGGGAUAAGACGAAACACGUAUGCCUUUUUUCAUGUACUUUAUGAGUAAGGAUCGGCUAACUCCGUGCCGUCAGCCGCGGUAAUACGGAGGAUCCGAGCGUUAUCCGGAUUUAUUGGGUUUAAAGGGAGCGUAGAUGGGUUGUUAAGUCAGUUGUGAAAGUUUGCGGCUCAACCGUAAAAGUGCAAUUGAUACUGGCAGUCUUGAGUACAGUUGAGGUAGGCGGAAUUCGUGGUGUAGCGGUGAAAUGCUUAGAUAUCACGAAGAAUCCCGAUUGCGAAGGCAGCCCACUAAACUGUGACUGACAUUGAGGCGCGAAAGUGUGGGUAGCAAACAGGAUUAGAUACCCUAGUAGUC
rnacentral:rRNA from 1 species